rnacentral:rRNA from 1 species
CCUACGGGAGGCAGCAGUGAGGAAUAUUGGUCAAUGGACGAGAGCCUGAACCAGCCAAGUAGCGUGAAGGAUGACUGCCCUAUGGGUUGUAAACUUCUUUUAUAAGGGAAUAAAACGCGGCACGUGUGCCGUUUUGCAUGUACCUUAUGAAUAAGGAUCGGCUAACUCCGUGCCAGCAGCCGCGGUAAUACGGAGGAGCCGAGCGUUAUCCGGAUUGAUUGGGUUUAAAGGGUGCGCAGGCGGCCUUGCAAGUCUGGAGUGAAACGCAUGGGCUCAACCCAUGAAUGGCUUUGGAAACUGGAGGGCUGGAGAGCAGGAGAGGGAGGUGGAACUCGAGGUGUAGCGGUGAAAUGCGUAGAUAUAAGGAAGAACCCCGGUGGCGAAGGCAGCCGGCUGGCCUGUUGCUGACGCUGAGGCACGAAAGCGUGGGGAGCAAACAGGAUUAGAUACCCGAGUAGUC